rnacentral:rRNA from 1 species
AACGAACGCUGGCGGCGUGCUUAACACAUGCCAGUCGAACGGGAAGGCCUUUUCGGGGGUCCUCGAGUGGCGAAAGGGUGAGUAACACGUGGUUGAUCUGCCCUUCACUCUGGGAUAAGCCUGGGAAACUGGGUCUAAUACCGGGUAGGACCGCACUUUAGCGUGUGUGGUGGAAAGUUUUUUCUGUGUAGGAUGAGCCCGCGGCCUAUCAGCUUGUUGGUGGGGUAAUGGCCUACCCAGGCGGCGACGGGUAGCCGGACUGAGAGGUUGGUCGGCCACAUUGGGACUGAGAUGCGGCCCAGACUCCUACGGGACGCAGCGGAGGGGAAGAUUGCACUAUGGGCGCAAGCCUGAUGCAGCGACGCAGCGUGGGGAUGACGGCCUUCGGGUUGUGAACGUCUUGCGCCAGGGACGAAGCGGUUUGUGACGGUACCUGGAGAAGAAGCACCGGCUAACUACGUG